GACAGAGGGGGCAAGCGUUGCUCGGAAUUACUGGGCGUAAAGGGCGCGUAGGCGGGAUGGCAAGUCGGUCGUGAAAUCCCUCGGCUCAACCGAGGAACGUCGAUCGAUACUGCUGUUCUUGAGGAUUGCAGAGGAGACUGGAAUUCCCGGUGUAGCGGUGAAAUGUGUAGAGAUCGGGAGGAACACCGGUGGCGAAGGCGGGUCUCUGGGCUGUAACUGACGCUGAGGCGCGAAAGCGUGGGGAGCAAACAGG
rnacentral:rRNA from 1 species